rnacentral:rRNA from 1 species
GACGAACGCUGGCGGCGUGCCUAAUACAUGCAAGUUGAGCGCAGAAAGGUGGUACUUGUACCGACUGGGUGAGCAGCGGACGGGUGAGUAACACGUGGGUAAUCUGCCUUUGAGCGUGGGACAACAUUUGGAAACGAAAGCUAAUACCGCAUAAAAACUUUAAACACAAGGUUCAAGUGUGAAAGAUGCAAUUGCUGCACCCAAAGAUGAUCCCCGGUUGGAUUAGCUAGUUGGUUAGGUAAAGGCCUACCAAGGCCAUGAUCGAAAGCCGCCCUGAGAGGUGAACCAGCAAAACGGGAACUGGAACACGGCCAAGACUCCUAGGGAAGGAGGAGGAGGGGAUUUUCGGCCAAGGAGGAAAGGCCUGACGAGGAAAGGCGGCGUGGGUAAGGAAGGUCUUGGAUUGGUAAAACCCUUUUGUAGGGGAGGAAGUUGGGUAGAGUAAAAAGCUCAUCAAUUGACGGUAACUACCCAGAAAGCGGCGGCUAACUACGUG